CACGUAGGCGGAUAUUUAAGUCAGGGGUGAAAUCCCAGAGCUCAACUCUGGAACUGCCUUUGAUACUGGGUAUCUUGAGUAUGAAAGAGGUAAGUGGAAUUCCGAGUGUAGAGGUGAAAUUCGUAGAUAUUCGGAGGAACACCAGUGGCGAAGGCGGCUUACUGGUCCAUUACUGACGCUGAGGUGCGAAAGCGUGAGGAGCAAACA
rnacentral:rRNA from 1 species